UGGAUAUUCCACCCACAUUCAACGCCCCGGGCUCAGCCGCGGCUGCGCCCGGAAUCCGGGGCUCCUCCUUCGUGACCCCGGAGUGGGCAAGUGACGAGGGCACGGCCAGAAACGUAUUGGCGUCAAGGAAAUCACGACCCAUCUUCCUGGAAGGAAACUUGGGGACACUUACGAAGAGAAGACUAGGAAGGACCGGAGUAGAAGCACUAAAGGAGAUGAUUCAGGUUGCUCCAGGCCAAAGCGUGAUCCUGAUGACACUUGUGGAAAAGCAGGCUGGAGCCUCGGAAGAGCUGGCCCUGCACACUCAGGAACCAUGUGGAAGGGAUAUAAAUAUCCCCCAGGAGGGACCCCAGUGGAAGUAAGCAAGGAUGAUCCUGGUGAAGUAAUGCAGCUGUGAAGCCCACCUGACCAGCUGUACAGUUCCUGUUGUUGGUUUCGCAUAAAGUAAUUGCACAUUAUUUUGUCAUAUUUUAUGUUAAGAAGUUACCGCACU
rnacentral:sRNA from 1 species